rnacentral:rRNA from 1 species
CACGUAGGAGGCGAGCGUUGUCCGGAAUCAUUGGGCGUAAAGAGCGCGCAGGCGGCUUGACAAGUCGGGUGUGAAAUCCCGGGGCUCAACCCCGGGACUGCAUUCGAUACUGUCAGGCUAGAGGUAGGUAGGGGAGAUCGGAAUUCCUGGUGUAGCGGUGAAAUGCGUAGAUAUGCGGAGGAACACCGAUGGCGAAGGCAAUCCCCUGGACCUGUACUGACGCUCAUGCACGAAAGCGUGGGGAGCAAACAGG